rnacentral:tRNA from 1 species
GGUGUAGCGCAGCCCGGUAGCGCGCCUGGUUUGGGACCAGGAGGUCGCAGGUUCGAAUCCUGUCGCC